rnacentral:tRNA from 2 species
GCGGGGGUACCCAAGCGGUCAAAGGGGCAGGACUUAAGAUCCUGUGGCUUAGUGCCUUCCUGGGUUCGAAUCCCAGCCCCCGCA